CAAACGACUCUCGGCAACGGAUAUCUCGGCUCACGCAUCGAUGAAGAACGUAGCAAAAUGCGAUACUUGGUGUGAAUUGCAGAAUCCCGUGAACCAUCGAGUUUUUGAACGCAAGUUGCGCCCGAAGCCAUUCGGUUGAGGGCACGUCUGCCUGGGCGUCACGC
rnacentral:rRNA from 41 species